rnacentral:rRNA from 1 species
GGAGUUUGAUCCUGGCUCAGAUUGAACGCUGGCGGCAGGCCUAACACAUGCAAGUCGGGCGGUAACAGGGAGAAGCUUGCUUCUCUGCUGACGAGCGGCGGGCGGGUGAGUAAUGUAUGGGGAUCUGCCUGAUAGUGGGGGAUAACGUUCGGAAACGGACGCUAAUACCGCAUACGUCCUACGGGAGAAAGCAGGGGACCUUCGGGCCUUGCGCUAUCAGAUGAGCCUAGGUCGGAUUAGCUAGUUGGUGAGGUAAUGGCUCACCAAGGCUACGAUCCGUAACUGGUCUGAGAGGAUGAUCAGUCACACUGGAACUGAGACACGGUCCAGACUCCUACGGGAGGCAGCAGUGGGGAAUAUUGCACAAUGGGGGAAACCCUGAUGCAGCCAUGCCGCGUGUGUGAAGAAGGCCUUCGGGUUGUAAAGCACUUUCAGCGAGGAGGAAAGGUUGGCAGCUAAUAUCUGUCAGCUGUGACGUUACUCGCAGAAGAAGCACCGGCUAACUCCGUGCCAGCAGCCGCGGUAAUACGGA